AUACGUAGGAGGCGAGCGUUGUCCGGAAUUACUGGGCGUAAAGGGUGUGUAGGCGGGUUGGUAAGUCGGGCGUGAAAUCCCGCGGCUCAACCGCGGAACUGCGCUUGAUACUGUCAGCCUGGAGUACGGGAGAGGAAAGCGGAACUCACGGUGUAGCGGUAAAAUGCGUAGAUAUCGUGAGGAACACCAGUGGCGUAGGCGGCUUUCUGGCCCGAUACUGACGCUGAAACACGAAAGCCGGGGGAGCGAACGGGAUUAGAUACCCCGGUAGUUCCGGCUGUAAACGAUGGGCACUAGGUGUGGGAAGCAUCGACCCUUUCCGUGCCGAAGCUAACGCAUUAAGUGCCCCGCCUGGGGAGUACGAUCGCAAGGUUGAA
rnacentral:rRNA from 1 species